UUUUUUCCUUCUGAAUUUUGAGCAGCAUAGCACUUAAACGAUCAUUUUGUUUCUCUCCCCCCCCUGCUCCCCAAUCUAAACAACAAAAGAAGGAAUUUAACCUCAUAUCCUCGCUCUGAAAUUAGCUCUAUUGUCAAAAGAUGACAGCUGUAUCCUGAUUUCAAGAAUUUCAUGUUGGAAUAAAACAGCGUUUCUGAAACCAUUGUGUGACUUCAAACGGAUCCGUAAUGGCCCCUCAGCAAAGCAUUUUCAGAAGACUUGGGUAAGUAAGAUAAAAAGGCACCGUUUCUGAAGAGUUGCUUUUAUGGGCUAGGUCAGAGUGCUCUUUCCAUGUUGUUCAUUCCCAGCUGAAUUUCCUAAUAGUCUAUCUCCUCGGCUAACAGAUGCCCGGCCUCAUGUCGGAACCAGAUCGUGCCACUGCUGAGAUGCUCUCCAGCUCCUCUCGUAUUGAGCCGCGUCCCUAGCAGAUGGUGCAGUGCUGCAGGCAUACUCCUUCCUGUUAAUUACCAGCCUUCGCUACAGAUGGAAAUGUCAGUCAGCCUCACAGGUAAGACCACGCGUGGAGAAGGUCGCCACAGCUCUGCACUCUGUCCACCUACAGGACUUCCUCUUGCCAUGACCUAACCCAGAGACAGCGACUGCAGGGCCAAUAUUAAAUACCCCCAACAGGAGCGAAAGAUUUUCAAACAGAUGAGAAACCAUCUUCCUGAAGACAAAAUAUUCAGCAUACUGGGGUAUCUUUUGUUUAGGACUGAGGCUCCACGUCAUGGGGUCUCUAGUGAGGGGAUGGCUACCAGAGUCAACACUGG